CGUGCCUAAUACAUGCAAGUCGAGCGAACGGACGAGAAGCUUGCUUCUCUGAUGUUAGCGGCGGACGGGUGAGUAACACGUGGAUAACCUACCUAUAAGACUGGGAUAACUUCGGGAAACCGGAGCUAAUACCGGAUGAUAUUUUGAACCGCAUGGUUCAAAAGUGAAAGACGGUCUUGCUGUCACUUAUAGAUGGAUCCGCGCUGCAUUAGCUAGUUGGUAAGGUAACGGCUUACCAAGGCAACGAUGCAUAGCCGACCUGAGAGGGUGAUCGGCCACACUGGAACUGAGACACGGUCCAGACUCCUACGGGAGGCAGCAGUAGGGAAUCUUCCGCAAUGGGCGAAAGCCUGACGGAGCAACGCCGCGUGAGUGAUGAAGGUCUUCGGAUCGUAAAACUCUGUUAUUAGGGAAGAACAUAUGUGUAAGUAACUGUGCACAUCUUGACGGUACCUAAUCAGAAAGCCACGGCUAACUACGUGCCAGCAGCCGCGGUAAUACGUAGGUGGCAAGCGUUAUCCGGAAUUAUUGGGCGUAAAGCGCGCGUAGGCGGUUUUUUAAGUCUGAUGUGAAAGCCCACGGCUCAACCGUGGAGGGUCAUUGGAAACUGGAAAACUUGAGUGCAGAAGAGGAAAGUGGAAUUCCAUGUGUAGCGGUGAAAUGCGCAGAGAUAUGGAGGAACACCAGUGGCGAAGGCGACUUUCUGGUCUGUA
rnacentral:rRNA from 1 species